ACAGAGGAGCAAUAAGAGAGCCCGUGCGGAAGAGGUUGACCCCGCUGCUGACUCCUCCCACACUUUUUCUGAAGACUAUACCAAGUACAUCAGCUUUUCUGAUGAUGGAAACAACCGGAGCUUUGGAGACCGACUGAUUGUGACUGAGCAUAUGCAAGCCCCCCGAAUUGCUGGAAUCUACGAACAAGCGCUCGGCCAGUUGGAUUCAACGGUCGAGAAGGAGGCUGACUGGGCGACUCUGGAAAAAACUGCUCUUGAUGACAUUAAUGAGGCGUGCUACAUCCGGGUUCUUCAAUCUGUGG
rnacentral:lncRNA from 1 species